rnacentral:rRNA from 1 species
GGCGCACGGGUGCGUAACGCGUAUGCAACCUACCUUAAUCAGGGGGAUAGCCCGAAGAAAUUCGGAUUAACACCGCAUAAAAUCACAGUACAGCAUUGUACAAUGAUCAAAUAUUUAUAGGAUUAAGAUGGGCAUGCGUGUCAUUAGUUAGUUGGCGAGGUAACGGCUCACCAAGACCACGAUGACUAGGGGAUCUGAGAGGAUGACCCCCCACACUGGUACUGAGACACGGACCAGACUCCUACGGGAGGCAGCAGUAAGGAAUAUUGGUCAAUGGAGGCAACUCUGAACCAGCCAUGCCGCGUGCAGGAAGACAGCCCUCUGGGUCGUAAACUGCUUUUAUUCGGGAAUAAACCUACUUACGUGUAAGUAGCUGAAUGUACCGAAGGAAUAAGGAUCGGCUAACUCCGUGCCAGCAGCCGCGGUAAUACGGAGGAUCCAAGCGUUAUCCGGAUUUAUUGGGUUUAAAGGGUGCGUAGGCGGCUUAUUAAGUCAGGGGUGAAAGACGGUGGCUCAACCAUCGCAGUGCCCUUGAUACUGAUGAGCUUGAAUACACUAGAGGUAGGCGGAAUGUGACAAGUAGCGGUGAAAUGCAUAGAUAUGUCACAGAACACCGAUUGCGAAGGCAGCUUACUAUGGUGUCAUUGACGCUGAGGCACGAAAGCGUGGGGAUCAAACAGGAUUAGAUACCCUGGUAGUCCACGCCCUAAACGAUGAAUACUCGCUGUUAGCGAUACACAGUUAGCGGCUAAGCGAAAGCGUUAAGUAUUCCACCUGGGGAGUACGCCCGCAAGGGUGAAACUCAAAGGAAUUGACGGGGGCCCGCACAAGCGGAGGAGCAUGUGGUUUAAUUCGAUGAUACGCGAGGAACCUUACCCGGGCUUGAAAGUUAGUGAAUGAGAUAGAGAUAUUUCAGUGAGCAAUCACACGAAACUAGGUGCUGCAUGGCUGUCGUCAGCUCGUGCCGUGAGGUGUUGGGUUAAGUCCCGCAACGAGCGCAACCCCUAUGUUUAGUUGCCAGCACGUUAAGGUGGGGACUCUAAACAGACUGCCUGUGCAAACAGAGAGGAAGGAGGGGACGACGUCAAGUCAUCAUGGCCCUUACGUCCGGGGCUACACACGUGCUACAAUGGAUGGUACAGAGGGCAGCAAGCUGGCAACAGCAAGCAAAUCUCAAAAAGCCAUUCACAGUUCGGAUAGAGGUCUGCAACUCGACCUCUUGAAGUUGGAUUCGCUAGUAAUCGCGUAUCAGCAAUGACGCGGUGAAUACGUUCCCGGGCCUUGUACACACCGCCCGUCAAG